UUUUUGCCAUCAUUUCAUGGAUGGACAGGUGUCACGUGUUUAUUAACCUUUUGAAGUUUGAUAGUUAACCUUUUGAUAGCUUAAACAUUAACCUUUUAAUGUUUAAUUAACCUGAUUAACCUUUUGAUAGUUUUAAACAUUUUUCCCCGUAGAUAUAAUUGGAAAUUAUAUCAGAUGAAAAUUCACUAAAAUACUCCUUCGUAUUCAUACAACUGCAGGUCCAAGUGAGGAUUCAUUGCAUCCGUCAAUAGGUCACAAGGGCUAAGAGCAGUGACAGCUAACAUUUAUGGGGCACUAAGUAAGUGUUAGACCACGUAAUCCUUGAAUAAUCCC
rnacentral:lncRNA from 1 species